rnacentral:tRNA from 1 species
GUCAGGAUAGCUCAGUUGGUAGAGCAGAGACUGAA